rnacentral:rRNA from 1 species
ACGGAAGGCAGCAGUGGGGAAUAUUGCACAAUGGGGGAAACCCUGAUGCAGCAACGCCGCGUGAGUGAUGAAGUAUUUCGGUAUGUAAAGCUCUAUCAGCAGGGAAGAAAAUGAAGGUACCCAAGUAAGAAGCCCCGGCUAACUACGUGCCAGCAGCCGCGGUAAUACGUAGGGGGCAAGCGUUAUCCGGAUUUACUGGGUGUAAAGGGAGCGUAGACGGAAUAGCAAGUUUGAAGUGAAAGCCCUGGGCUUAACCCGGGAACUGCUUUGAAAACUGUUAAUCUAGAGUACUGGAGGGGUAUGGGGAAUUCCUAGUGUAGUAGUGAAAUGCGUAGAUAUUAGGAGGAACACCGGAGGCGAAGGCGCCAUACUGGACAGAUACUGACGUUGAGGCUCGAAAGCGUGGGGAGCAAACAGGAUUAGAUACCCUGGUA